CGCUAGCUACAGGCUUAACACAUGCAAGUCGAGGGGCAUCAGGAAGAAAGCUUGCUUUCUUUGCUGGCGACCGGCGCACGGGUGAGUAACACGUAUCCAACCUGCCCUUUACUCGGGGAUAGCCUUUCGAAAGAAAGAUUAAUACCCGAUAGCAUAAUGAUUCCGCAUGGUUUCAUUAUUAAAGGAUUCCGGUAAAGGAUGGGGAUGCGUUCCAUUAGGUUGUUGGUGGGGUAACGGCCCACCAAGCCUUCGAUGGAUAGGGGUUCUGAGAGGAAGGUCCCCCACAUUGGAACUGAGACACGGUCCAAACUCCUACGGGAGGCAGCAGUGAGGAAUAUUGGUCAAUGGGCGCUAGCCUGAACCAGCCAAGUAGCGUGAAGGAUGAAGGCUCUAUGGGUCGUAAACUUCUUUUAUAUAAGAAUAAAGUGCAGUAUGUAUACUGUUUUGUAUGUAUUAUAUGAAUAAGGAUCGGCUAACUCCGUGCCAGCAGCCGCGGUAAUACGGAGGAUCCGAGCGUUAUCCGGAUUUAUUGGGUUUAAAGGGAGCGUAGGUGGACUGGUAAGUCAGUUGUGAAAGUUUGCGGCUCAACCGUAAAAUUGCAGUUGAUACUGUCAGUCUUGAGUACAGUAGAGGUGGGCGGAAUUCGUGGUGUAGCGGUGAAAUGCUUAGAUAUCACGAAGAACUCCGAUUGCGAAGGCAGCUCACUGGACUGCAACUGACACUGAUGCUCGAAAGUGUGGGUAUCAAACAGGAUUAGAUACCCUGGUAGUCCACACAGUAAACGAUGAAUACUCGCUGUUUGCGAUAUACAGUAAGCGGCCAAGCGAAAGCAUUAAGUAUUCCACCUGGGGAGUACGCCGGCAACGGUGAAACUCAAAGGAAUUGACGGGGGCCCGCACAAGCGGAGGAACAUGUGGUUUAAUUCGAUGAUACGCGAGGAACCUUACCCGGGCUUAAAUUGCAGUGGAAUGAUGUGGAAACAUGUCAGUGAGCAAUCACCGCUGUGAAGGUGCUGCAUGGUUGUCGUCAGCUCGUGCCGUGAGGUGUCGGCUUAAGUGCCAUAACGAGCGCAACCCUUAUCUUUAGUUACUAACAGGUCAUGCUGAGGACUCUAGAGAGACUGCCGUCGUAAGAUGUGAGGAAGGUGGGGAUGACGUCAAAUCAGCACGGCCCUUACGUCCGGGGCUACACACGUGUUACAAUGGGGGGUACAGAAGGCAGCUAGCGGGUGACCGUAUGCUAAUCCCAAAAGCCUCUCUCAGUUCGGAUCGAAGUCUGCAACCCGACUUCGUGAAGCUGGAUUCGCUAGUAAUCGCGCAUCAGCCACGGCGCGGUGAAUACGUUCCCGGGCCUUGUACACACCGCCCGUCAAGCCAUGGGAGCCGGGGGUACCUGAAGUACGUAACCGCAAGGAGCGUCCUAGGGUAAAACUGGU
rnacentral:rRNA from 1 species